rnacentral:rRNA from 1 species
UAGGUAACCUGCCCCGGAGCGGGGGAUAACAUUUGGAAACAGAUGCUAAUACCGCAUAACAACAAAAGCCACAUGGCUUUUGUUUGAAAGAUGGCUUUGGCUAUCACUCUGGGAUGGACCUGCGGUGCAUUAGCUAGUUGGUAAGGUAACGGCUUACCAAGGCGAUGAUGCGUAGCCGAGUUGAGAGACUGAUCGGCCACAAUGGAACUGAGACACGGUCCAUACUCCUACGGGAGGCAGCAG